GAUGAACGCUGGCGGCGUGCCUAAUACAUGCAAGUCGAGCGAACAGACGAGGAGCUUGCUCCUCUGACGUUAGCGGCGGACGGGUGAGUAACACGUGGAUAACCUACCUAUAAGACUGGGAUAACUUCGGGAAACCGGAGCUAAUACCGGAUAAUAUAUUGAACCGCAUGGUUCAAUAGUGAAAGACGGCUUUGCUGUCACUUAUAGAUGGAUCCGCGCCGCAUUAGCUAGUUGGUAAGGUAACGGCUUACCAAGGCAACCAUGCGUAGCCGACCUGAGAGGGUGAUCGGCCACACUGGAACUGAGACACGGUCCAGACUCCUACGGGAGGCAGCAGUAGGGAAUCUUCCGCAAUGGGCGAAAGCUUGACGGAGCAACGCCGCGUGAGUGAUGAAGGUCUUCGGAUCGUAAAACUCUGUUAUGAGGGAAGAACAAAUGUGUAAGUAACUAUGCACGUCUUGACGGUACCUAAUCAGAAAGCCACGGCUAACUACGUG
rnacentral:rRNA from 1 species